CUUUUAAUAAAAUUAAUAAAUUAAUAUAAAAU
rnacentral:tRNA from 1 species